UUGUGAACAGGUGAAGGAAAUCACAUUUACAUCUAUAAAAGGAAUAUUAAGAGUUAGUGUCGAGCCGAUCUUUGUGAUUAAUUAUCAAACAUGAAGGUUCUUCUUGUAACUUUUUUAAUAAUUGCUGUCGUUUAUGCUGAUUCUAAGUCGUCCACGUGCGACAGAGAAAAUGAAGAAUUUUUAGAUUGUGGAA